CGCACGCAGGCGCGCUCACGAGGGUGGGAGAGAGGGGCCUCGUGUACGCGCCUCGCGAGCGGUCACUCAGAUCCGCGAGGGACCAUGACGCAGAUAAAACCUCAAACAGAAGCUGCUCCCUGUAGGGGGCGCCACAGCGGACCAUCCCCCCCUCUCCUCCUCCUCCGUCUUUGGGCGACUCGAUGAACCAGCAAACAUCCAAACGGAGGAAUUUAUCAACAGAAUGCCUUUCUAUCGGACCAGAACAGCUGAAAGCUUCACUUUUAUUGAUCCGUCUCCACCAAUACUACAGAGAACUUCCACGAGAGCGGACUUAAACGGUUUGAUCUCCAAGUUAAAAGAAAUAUUGGAGAAAAAAAACAAAGACAGAGGGAUCAAACACUGACGUCCUCAUGACUUAUCCAGAUUCAAACCAACACUAAUACUUAGCUCACUAUUCUACAGUUACAUCAAUGGUAUUUCCAGUGUUUUAAAACUGAGGAUAUUUAUCUAUUUUAUCCCUAAUGAGGAACUCAUCAAUGUGGUGAAUACAGAAAAACUAAUUUAAACAAAACUGAAGUUGUGUUAUUUUAUAAUUAUGUCAAAGCAGAGCAGCUGGUUAAAAUAAAUCCAGAACUUGAAUCAAAAGCAGCACAUCAGACCCAAACUAAAUGACAGAGACCUGCAUUUAGCAGCUGAUGUUUGACUUAUUGAUCCGAAUACAAACGGACGUUUGUCACUGAUCGUCACGUCUCCUGGUGCCUGCGGUCGUCACGGCGACGCCUCGCCGUGGGACUCCUGACGGACUUCCUGUAACGCCGAUAGGACAGAGGCUUUCUGCAGCAGCUGCUAUUCAUGUUAAAAAUGAGGUCAUGGAUCAUGAAAGGCCUCUAAUAAUUUCAUGGAUUCUUCGUCUGGUUAUAGAAAAUGUCAGGCUGUUUGAUAGGAGUCGGGGUUCUGGUCGGGUCCAAAUCAACUGACUGCAUGGAACUUUAGGAAAAGACAUUAAAAACACAUGAUGGGCA